GAUGAAGAACGUAGCGAAAUGCGAUACGUAAUGUGAAUUGCAGAAUUCAGUGAAUCAUCGAGUCUUUGAACGCACAUUGCGCCCCCUGGUAUUCCGGGGGGCAUGCCUGUUCGAGCGUCAUUACAACCCUCAGGCCCCCGGGCCUGGCGUUGGGGAUCGGCGAGGCGCCCCCCGCGGGCACGCGCCGUCCCCCAAAUACAGUGGCGGUCCCGCCGCAGCUUCCAUUGCGUAGUAGCUAACACCUCGCAACUGGAGAGCGGCGCGGCCAUGCCGUAAAACACCCAACUUCUGAAUGUUGACCUCGAAUCAGGUAGGAAUACCCGCUGAACUUAAGCAUAUCAAUAAGCGGAGGA
rnacentral:misc_RNA from 1 species